CGAGAAGGGGCAUUAAUCCGGGAAAUUGCCGGGUUGAUGUUGCAGGAAAAUAUCCAAGGGUUUGGUUUACUCCAGGAGCCAAUCCAAACGAUGUUAAAGAAUGGUAUGAAUUUGGGGCAUUAGCUUCAGUUUAUACUACUUCUCCGGCCUUCACCGAAAUCAAGGGUCUACCCAAAUGGAUCCAGAAAACGGUGUUCGACGCAUGGGAGAACAACGAGUCCCUAAAAAGGGGAGACGUUCUGGAAUUGUACUUCUUCAGUGCAGCUCCAGAGCCAGUAGGUAAAGGAGUCUACGAAGCCUUCCAUUUCAUCAAGCUUCGGAGACCAGACACAGGAGCCUUGAACCGGAUCAAAGUUCCUGAGUUUAAUGCCGCCAUCGUCUCAACAUUCACGGAGGAACAAAUCUCUACGAGACGAGCGUGGGGUCUUUGGGUCUGUCUCACAGAGAUGGACAAAAUGAAGUCCAGAUUCAAGUUCUUUCAGAGCUCAGAUCUGGGAACAUUCCUGGUCAACACAAUGACAGGAACAACAACUCAGUUUGCCGAAAAUUCUUUCGAGAAUAAGAGGCAAACCAUUUGGGGAAACAAGAUCGCGGGGAGCAAAGAGACUCGUCGCAAAUUCUGCAAUAUGGCUCAUGUGAGCCAUUGGAUCGAGAG
rnacentral:lncRNA from 1 species